UACGUAGGGUGCAAGCGUUAAUCGGAAUUACUGGGCGUAAAGCGUGCGCAGGCGGUUUGGUAAGACAGAUGUGAAAUCCCCGGGCUUAACCUGGGAAUUGCAUUUGUGACUGCCCGGCUAGAGUGUGUCAGAGGGGGGGUAGAAUUCCACGUGUAGCAGUGAAAUGCGUAGAGAUGUGGAGGAAUACCGAUGGCGAAGGCAGCCCCCUGGGAUAACACUGACGCUCAUGCACGAAAGCGUGGGGAGCAAACAGG
rnacentral:rRNA from 1 species